rnacentral:rRNA from 1 species
CACUGGAGCCCACAGUGAGCGUGCUACUUGCGUCGAAAGGCGUGAGGAAUCCCGUAAGCUUCUCCGUAUCUGGGAUUGCGGCAUGUAAUUGUGCCGCGUGAACGCGGAAUCCCGAGUAAGUGCCAAUCAUCAUUUCGCAUUGAUUACGUCCCUGCCCUUUGUACACACCGCCCGUCGCUACUACCGAUUGACUCGUCCAGUGAGGCAUCGGGACGGGCGCGGUGAGCUGUCUUCGGAUGGCGCGCCGUGCCUGAAACUUUGCCAAACUGUCCGAGUUAGAGGAAGUAAAAGUCGUAACAAGGUUUCCGUAGGUGAACCUGCGGAAGGAUCAAGC